UCAUUUCCAAACCAUGUUCUGGCCAAC
rnacentral:piRNA from 1 species